CCUGCUCACAACAGGGCCUUUACAUUGAAGUUUAUGAUCUACCUGAAAGACUUCAGUUUCUGGCUCCUGUGAACCUGAUCCAAACUUACCUUCUACCCUGCUCCAUACCAACCUGCUCCAGAUUUACCUUCUACCCUGCUUCAUACCAACCUGCUCCAGACUUGCCUUCAAACCUGCUCCACUCUCACGUAUGAUUUUGACCUCUGCCUCUAUUACCAGCCUUCCUGUGUUACAAACCUGCCUCUGUUAUCAGCCUGCCUCUGUAACCAGCCUGCCGUUGAUACCAAACUGCCUUUGUUUCAAACCUACCUGAAGAUUAGAGACUUUCUUUAUUUGCAGGUAUCCUGUUUUGUGGCAUAUUGCCUAAAGUCUGUUUUUCCUCAAUUUGCAUAAAAUGUCUAAAAGCACAAAUAACGUCUCAAAUAACAACCCUGGCAUGUCUCCUAUCUGACCUGCACAAGAUCAUGACACAUAUUGUAUAAUUGUACUGUGGCUGAGAUUAGGAGGGAUUUAAAGAUCUUCCUGUUUAGGAGAAACUAACUUGUGACAAAUAAUAAAAUAACAAAUUUAGUCUAAUUAUAUUUUAUUUAAAUAUAAAAGUGAGACAACUGCUUCAUUCAGUUAUAAUACAACUGAAUGAGACAGAUGUCCUGGGGAAGGGAUGAAUGCCUGAUUUCAAUAGUUUCAACAAUUACACACGUUAGUGGCAUUUUUUUUUUUUUUUAAUUAAAUUCUUUAUUUUAAUUGUGCAUAGAGGGUACAAAACAAGCUUGCAAUGCCACAACAGCUAAUGCAAGCCCUUCGAAUAACAUAGAUUAACAAAUAUAUGGCAUUUGACAUUUCUGCACAUUUUUAUACGGUUAAAGACGACUGCUUUUCCAUAAAUUCUGUGCGUUUGAGUAUAAGAACUAGGUAAAAGGUAAACAGUGUGACAUUCAAAAGAUAUUCAAUUAAAUGACAUAUGCCAGUGGGAUACAUGCCAUGGCAUCCAUACUUAUGAGAAGAAGAAAUCAACAAUAAACAAAAAAAUAAAACGAAAAGAAAACAAGGAUGCGAAUAAUGUGUAACACUAUCUAGUAAAAACUGACAGAAGUACAGCUCCCUAUAUGGGUGCAUUGAGCAUAUUGGUUGCAGUGCGUGAGAGUAGGCAAUUGGCAAGGUAGCAUUUGGCCUAUCAGAAGAGUUUUUAUAAGGAUGAGUGCAGUUACUUUAUGUUGCUAGGAGCAUCCAGACUUAUUCUCCUAGGUGAUUGUAUUACUGUAGUCAUUUGUGCGCUGUGAUGUUUGAUUGGUUUUGGGAGCGUUUGAUGCUUGUAUUUAUAGUGUUAGUUAAAUUCUGCAGAUUCCUGUCUUUUGUGUCUAGCUUAAGGACAAUUCUUAAGGUGGGGGAGUUUGAUCGAAGUUUUUUUGUGUAUUCGUGUUAAGAGUGGUGGUCUCGUGUGAGAGAUGUGUUGUGAGUCAUGGUAUAAGUGGCUUGCUGCAAGGUAUAGGUAUAGGUUUGAGUCCAGCGAAUCAAGUUGUAACAGCAGCAUACAGGUUUGUAGUAAAAGGCAUUGUUGCUGUUCAACCCUUGAGGGUCCCCCAGGUUCCAUGUGAGUCCUGCGGGAGACGUAAGGUGGCCAGUAAGGCUUUUGCCUUGGCGAGGUCCCGUAUCACGUGUCUUUCUUCCCCUUUGGUGACUGGGAGUAUGCGUUCUUGCCGCCAGCGGUAUUGGAUGUUGUGCUUUCUGAGCAGGGAUGUGAAGGUUACCAUCGAUAUUCUCCAUGCCAGCGUACCUCCCGAUAGGUCAGCGGUAUGGAUUUGAAGAUGCUGCAGCCCUAUCCGUCUCUGGGUGAGUCUGCUGGGGCCCUAGGUGACUUGGACACCCAGAAGUACCCAUCAAGUCAGCCCUUCCCAUGUCAGUGAGGCCAGUCAUAUCCUGGACUUUCUGAACUGCUGGUUGCUUUACCCGAGAAAUUUUCUGGGACCCGGUCUAAAUAUAUUACCUUCAAAGUGGAUUGCGAGGUCCUAUUCUCCCUGAGACCAUUUACCUAUGCCACGGACUUUAUUAAAGUGAGGACAGUGAUUACCUUGUUGUCUGGGCACCCUAAGAUUUGACCCACCAGCUGUUAAUCACCAAAAGCCCAAUCCUGGAUUCCUGGAAGUCAUUUAUUCGGUCCCUGGGUUUACAAUGCAACAGGACACAAAAGUCCAAUGUUCCUAGAUCACCACCUGUUCACAUAUAUUGCUACCCGGACUGGAGCUGGACUAUACUGCCCCUUCCACUCGGACUGGUGUUACUGCAAGCUCUACCCCUUCCAAGUCUCCCAAAGUGCCUGAGACAUCAUUUUCAUCUUGCAGGGAAGUCGAGGAACCUAUGGAGAUUGGAGUGGUCUCGCUCUGCCAGUCAUCCCAAGAAAAGGCAAGAAGGAGGGCACAUGGACUAUGUUUUCAUUGUGGGGAGAGGGGACAUUUAAUAUCAUUUUGUCCUAUUCGCCCAUCUAGGCCUCAAGUUCUCCGUGUGGGUACCACUCUUGCAUAUCCUAUGAGACCUGUCUGCCAACAUGUUGCCUGUCCUUGCUUGUCCACUCUGACCAAUCCUCACCUUCCUACGGUUUUUGCUCCUGAGGUCUUGCAGGAAUCUGUCUCGAAGAAACCUGAGAUCCCUAUUUCUACGAAAGAUUCUAUUUCUGAAAAGGCGAGUACCACAACCACUGCAUGUCCAAUCGAGAAAAAGCCUACUCCUGGCUGUACUUACACCUCUAAUGCAAGUUCGUAAAGAGGACUUAUAUGUCUUUGAAAGGGCUCUUCAAGCUCUGACCUCCGCUCCGUUGGUAACACCAAAACCAAGAAAGUAACCUUCGUGGCCUUAAGUAGCUUUCCUAUUUUCAUUUAAUGGCUGAUGUCAGGGUCAUCAUUCAUGCCAUACACAAUAUUGUGUAUUUGGGCCUUGCUGGGAUCAAACUUGUGUCUCCAGCAUCCCAGUCAGUGAUCUUAUCCAUGGCUCCACACAUAUAUCUUGUUAUUCUGAUUUACUAGUUGUAUCCUACUGUCUGUAUCUCUAGUCCUGGACAUUUGCACACCUGUUCCUGGUUUCCCGAUAGUGGCAAUUACCAGCCUAUAUAAACCCUGCCUUGUUGGUAGCUCAUGGUCAGAUUGUUGUUCCUGUUCCUGUUUCACUGCUAUUCAUCUGACUCCUGGUUUAGUUCCUCUGCUGGUCUACCGUUUUUGCCUGAUUGCCGCCUGUCCUGACUACUGAUAUUGACCUUGACUACUCUCUUUGGAUUUGCCCUUGCCUGUACUGCGUUCCUGGAAGCACUGGAUAUUAUCAGCUCCAGUGCACUGUUUCACAGCCUUGGUGAUGUCUGUAUUGAGUCCCCUUGGCUUGUGUCGUAUUGCAAAGGGUGCUUUAACUCUGCGUGUCAGACUCCCACUCCAGGUAAGAUCCCUCACACCUUGGCUUGUCAGGUUUAAUUUUUUUGGUCUUAUGACCCAUCACAUUCCCUCUUUGUUUAGGGUGCCGGUUGGGGCGAUCAGGUCGAGAUUCCGAGCCCCGUAAGAGGUUAUUGUCGUUACGGUUGCAUGGAGCUCUCGGGUGCUGCGACCACCUAGCUCGGGUGCUUGGCUCCACCCCUAUUAGUGGUGGUAUUGAAAGACCCCUGUGAACAUUUCCAAAUCUAUAUUUUUUUUUAUUUUUUUUAGCUUGGAAUGUCUGGAGAUCUGCAGAGAUAACAAAAAAAAAGCUAGCAUCAGCCUAGAUGUAAGAAGGGGAAGGAAGCAAUAGCAAGAAGACUGGGUCAGAUAAUAUUUUUUAAAGUAAGAAAAAAAGGUUGUUUUUUUUUCCCCUUUAGAAUUAAGUAAAAAUCCAGGGGAAUAUUCAUCAAACCUGGGCCUGGAUUAAAAAAAAAAAAUAGUUAAACACUCUCGGCAAUGCAAGGGUUAACUCAUGUUGCGGCUGGCCAGCGCUUGCUAGGCGGCCACCACUUGAAACAGUGUAAGAAAAAUAAAAAAGUGAGAAAUAAAAAUACUAAGGGAUCAAUAACCCUCCUUAUGCCCCUACCUGUCAUGCGGCAUUGGGGGCAUUUCUACCAAGUAGUUAAACCUAGUGACUGGCAGCCGUUUCUGUCCAGUCGGCAUUAAAGCCCCGAUAUCACGGGGAUGGCCUUUUAAAUAAUGUGGGGGGCAUAAAAAACAGAAUGUGGGGACCUUAAAUAAUUAACAGAGGGGACCUAAUGUAACCUCCAUGUUAAUUAUUAAAAAAACCAGAGUGUGGAAGAUAGACAGAUCUAUAAGAUUAGGUAGAAAGAGACUAAACAAGUUAUAAGAGCUUCCAAAUCGCACACAGAAGAAAAAAUAGCACAGUCAGUAUAAAAAGGGGACAAAACAUAUUUUGGAUACAUAAAUGAGAAAAGGAAAGUAAAACAAGGAUUAGUUUGAUUAAAAACAAAAGAAGGAAGGUAUGUAGAAGAGGAUAAAGGUCUAGCUGACUGCCUGAAUUAAUAUUUUUGUUCAGUAUUUAAAGAUGAAAAUGAAAAUGAAGGAAAGGGGCCUCAGUUAGGAAAAAGGACAAAUUAGCAAUUUGUUACAUUUGAGUUUACAGAGGAAGACGUUCUAUUUCAGGAGUAGUCCCAGAAGAUUGGAAGUUACUGAAUGUUGUGCCCAUUCACAAGAAAGGUAGUAGGGAGGAGUCAGGCAGCUAUAGGCCAGUAAGUCUUAAUUCGGUAGUGGGGAAAGGAAUGGAAACCAUGUUAAAGGAUAGGAUUGUUGAACAUCUAAAAUCACAUGGAUUUCAAGAUCAGAGACAAACGUGGGUUUACUUCAGGGAGAUCAUGUCAAACUAAUCUUAUUGAUUUUUUUGAUUGGGUAACUAAAAUAAUAGAUCAGGGUGGUGCAGUAGACAAUGUUUACCUAGAUUUCAGUAAGGCUUUUGACACUGUUGCAUAUAUAAGGCUUAUCAAUAAACUACAAUCUUUAAGUUUGGAUUCCAAUAUUGUUAAAUGGGUAUGACAGUGACUGAGUGACAGGCAACAGAGGGUUGUAGUCAAUAGAGUAUAUUUGAAGCAUGGGCUUGUCACCAGUGCGUUACCUCAAGGAUCUGUACUAGGACCCAUUCUCUUUAAUGUUUUUAUUAGUGAUAUUGCAGAAGGUCUUGAUGGUAAGGUAUGUCUUUUUGCUGAUGAUACUAAUACAGGGAGUGCAGAAUUAUUAGGCAAAUGAGUAUUUUGACCACAUCAUCCUCUUUAUGCAUGUUGUCUUACUCCAAGCUGUAUAGGCUCGAAAGCCUACUACCAAUUAAGCAUAUUAGGUGAUGUGCAUCUCUGUAAUGAGAAGGGGUGUGGUCUAAUGACAUCAACACCCUAUAUCAGGUGUGCAUAAUUAUUAGGCAACUUCCUUUCCUUUGGCAAAAUGGGUCAAAAGAAGGACUUGACAGGCUCAGAAAAGUCAAAAAUAGUGAGAUAUCUUGCAGAGGGAUGCAGCACUCUUAAAAUUGCAAAGCUUCUGAAGCGUGAUCAUCGAACAAUCAAGCGUUUCAUUCAAAAUAGUCAACAGGGUCGCAAGAAGCGUGUGGAAAAACCAAGGCGCAAAAUAACUGCCCAUGAACUGAGAAAAGUCAAGCGUGCAGCUGCCACGAUGCCACUUGCCACCAGUUUGGCCAUAUUUCAGAGCUGCAACAUCACUGGAGUGCCCAAAAGCACAAGGUGUGCAAUACUCAGAGACAUGGCCAAGGUAAGAAAGGCUGAAAGACGACCACCACUGAACAAGACACACAAGCUGAAACGUCAAGACUGUGCCAAGAAAUAUCUCAAGACUGAUUUUUCUAGGGUUUUAUGGACUGAUGAAAUGAGAGUGAGUCUUGAUGGGCCAGAUGGAUGGGCCCGUGGCUGGAUUGGUAAAGGGCAGAGAGCUCCAGUCCGACUCAGACGCCAGCAAGAUGGAGGUGGAGUACUGGUUUGGGCUGGUAUCAUCAAAGAUGAGCUUGUGGGGCCUUUUCGGGUUGAGGAUAGAAUCAAAGACUUGUUUAUGCACCCUGCCUAAUCUUUGGUGUAGGGCCUGAACAUAGGCAGUCAUACUACCAUGCUGCAUCUGGAGGGUUUGGGGAAAAUAGAGGCCUGUCUUUGGGGCACAUCCAAACAGGAUCUCAAAAGGGGAUAGGCCAUGUCUGGAAUUGGGGGUGAAUCUCCUAGAAAAGAGUGCUAGGGGAAGGCAUUCAGUCCGGGGCUUCCCUGUGUCUUGCAUGGCUUUUGCAAUCUUGUUCUUUAAGGUGCCAUUUGCCAUUUCUACUUUCCCACUACUCUGGGGGUGAUAGGGGGUGUGGAAGGCCUGACUGAUCCCUAAGGCUUUCAUAAUUUCUUGCAUUAUUUCCCCAGUGAAAUGGCUACCUGUGUCACUUUCAAUCACUUCAGGUACUCCAUAUCUACAUACCAGUUCCUCCAGAAGCUUACUUGCUGUGAUCUUCGUUGUGGUUUUCAACACUGGGUAGGCCUCAGGGCAACCUGAAAAGAGAUCAAUGCACACCAACACAUAUUCAUACAGUCCUACCUUAGGUAGUUGAAUAUAGUCUAUCUGCAGUCUUUGAAACGGGUAAAGUGGCCUUGGUGUGCUUACUUGGUGUUUUGACAGCCUGUCCUGGAUUGUUUCUAGCACAAGUCAUGCAAGCUUGGGUGUGUUUAGCUGCUACAACAGUAAAUCUGGGUGCUACCCAAUGGGUGUUUACUAUGCUGUUCAUGUGCAUCUUGGAUAGAUGUGUAGGUCCAUGGGCAAUCUGGGCCAUCAUGGAGUACAACACUCGUGGCAAACAGUCUUUUACCUUUCCUCCACAUUCUGUCAUUAUCCGGUUCUGCAUCUUGUUUCCUCCAGAGGUCACGUUCUUCCUUUCUUGCCUGUCUUUGUAAGCUCAACAGUAUAUUGUAGUCAACGGCGUCAUCUGUAAGAACAACUUGUAGGAAGAUAUUACCUGUAGAGGCAGGGUGUAUUAGCCGCGAGGCAAACAAGGCAUUUGCCUUGGGCGGCAUUUUUCAGGGGGCGGCAAAACGCCGACCCCCAAAUGCCCAGGGUAAAUGCCUAGUUAGCCUCGCGGCUAACUGACAUCCCGAGCGGGCGGCGCUGGCAGGCUGGCGGCUGGCGAGGGAGCACUUCCUCUGAGCUGACUGCUCAGCUCCCUCGCGCGCCGCAGAGUGAGGCUGGGAGCUGGAAUAUGACGUCAUCUUCCGGCUCCCAGCCUCACUCUGCAGCCGGCGCGCGAGGGAGCUGAGCAGUCAGCUCAUAGGAAGUGCUCCCUCGCCAGCCGCCCGCCUGACCUGCAGCCACUGGACCACCAGGGAUAGAGACUAAAUUUUAAAAAAAGUUAAUGUUUGUGUUUGUGAGUGUGUGUUUGUGUCUGACUGUGUGUGUGUUUGUGUCUGACUGUUUGUGUCUGUGUAUGUGUCUGACUAUGUGUGUAUGUGUUUGACUGUGUUUGUGAGUGUCUGUGUGUGUGUCUGUGUGUGUGUCUGUGUGUGUGUGUGUGUGUGUGUGUCUGACUGUGUUUGUGUCUGACUGUGUGUGUUUGUGUAUGUGUCUGACUGUGUGUGUGUAUGUGUCUGACUGUGUGUGUGUUUGUGUGUGUGUUUGUGUCUGACUGUGUGUGUGUCUGACCAUGUGUGUUUGUGUCUGUGUUUGUGUGUGCGUGUGUCUGACUGUGUAUGUGUGUGUUUGUGUCUGACUGUGUGUCUGACUGUGUGUGUGUGUGUCUGUGUGUGUUUGUGUCUGACUGUGUGUGUCUCUGACUGUGUGUGUGUUUGUGUCUGACUGUGUGUGUGUGUUUGUGUCUGACUGUGUGUGUGUAUUUAGAAGGUGGGGCGGGGGGAGGGUUGGGUGGGGGUGGCGCGGGGGGAGGGGGGCGCUUGAGUUUUGUCCUGCCUAGGGCAGCACAAAACCAGGAUACACCACUGUGUAGAGGGAUGAACUUGAAUUGCUGCUUGCUUGGCAGCUUCAUCUGCUUUGUGGUUUCCUCUUGAGAUUUAAUCUGUGAUCUUCACGUGAGCUGUCACCUUGAUGAUGCCUACUUGAGUGGGUAGCAGGAUAGCGUUCAUAAGUGCACUCACGGCUUCAGAGUUCUUGAUUGGAGUUCCUGCUGAGGUGAGAAAAUCACGAGCCCGCCAUAUAGGGCCAAAAUCAUGGGCUGUACCAAAAGCAUAGCGAGAGUCUGUAUAAAUAUUAGCAGUCUUACCAGAAGCCAUUUUACAUGCUUCAGCGAGUGCCUUCAGCUCUGCCUCCUGUGCAGAGCAGUGAGGAGCGAGUGGUUCAGCUUUUAUUACCUCAGGUGCAAAGACUACAGCAUAUCCAGUGUGGAAAUAACCUUUCUCAUCAGCAUAUCUGGAACCAUCUAAAAAAAACUCAAAAUCUGCAUUAGAUAAUGGAGAAUCAAUUACAUGCAAAAAACCUGCUGUUUCUUGUGCCAUUAGUGCUGCACAAUCAUGGGGUACCUGGGCAUCAGCUAACUCAUCUGGUGAAAGUGAAUUUACAAAAAGAUCAGAAGUACAAGUACCAUUCCCAGUAUCCCCACUCCCCUCUUUUAAAUCCAGGGGAAGCAAUGUAGAUGGAUUUAACACCACACACCUUUUAAGAGUAACAUUAGGUGGCAUUAGCAAGGCACACUGCAUUCUGAGAUGCCUUGCAGUAUGUAUGUGUUUUGGUUGAACUUGUGACAGUAUGCUGUUGAUAUCAUGCGGUGUGUGUGUGUGUAUAUGGUCACCAGAUUAUCUAAAACAAUAUCAGUGGCAGUAACAGUAGGCAUUUUAUGCCGCAUGGGUUAAUUUAAAUGGUUUGUUUUCGUUGGCAAGGCACUCAUACAGGGGCUGCAUGUAGAUUUCUGUAGAAGCCAAGGUCGGCAGUAUGAAUCGUAGCUGGGCUAGGCUGCGGGGGGGGGGGUGGGUGUAAUAGUUUGAACUGCAGUCUGCCUCUGCCAAGAACUUCAGUAAGGAAAGAGUGUUCACAAUACAAGAUUCCAUAUUAUCGCAACAUAGGAGUAGGUCAUCGAUAUACUGCAAUAAAAUUACGUUAUUUGGCCUUUGCCACUCCUCAAGAAUCUGGGCCAUAGCCAUGCUGUACAUAGUGGGCGAGUUUUGUGCGCCCUGUGGCAAUACUGUCCAAUAGAGAUGUCGCGAACCGUCCGUGGCCAAUCUCCAGCAGACCCUCCCUACAGGAAGUAGGAGGGUCUGGGAGGGAGGGUCUGCUGGAGAUUGGCCGGGACGUGUCAGCUGACCGGAGUUAGCCACGAACAGCUCGCGGCGAACCAUUCGCGAGAAGUUUGCGGACGGUUCGCGACAUCCCUACUGUCCAAGUGUACUGCUUGUGUUUAUGUGUAAAUGCAAAUAAAAACUGACUGUCGGGAUCCAGGGGGACACUGAAAAAUGCAUUUGCCAAGUCAAUAACAGUAAAUACCUUAGAGGAAGGUGGUAUUUGUGCCAACAAGGUGUGUGGGUUGGGAACAUUAGGGGCAAUGAGUUCAGUUACAGCAUUAAUUGCCCUCAAAUCAUGUACCAUAAGGUAGACCACAGGUUUACCUUUCUCUUGCUUUUCUUAAUUGGGUACAAUGGUGUGUUACAAGGGGAGAUGGUCUGGACAAUUACCCCUGCCUGCAGAAACUCUUGCACAGAUUGGGAAAUAGCAUCUUCCUGUGCUGGGCUUAGGGGGUAUUGUUUUUGAUAGGGAGGUUUGGGACUAUUCGGUCCCCAGGCAGUGUAACAUUGAUAAUGGGUGAGGGUCCUGCAGAGUCAGGGAUAUUGAUGAUAUGUAGGGACACUGGUUUGCCAAUUUCCUAUUGGGGGGGAGGUGGUGGUGGUGGUUAGCUGUCAUGUGAGUUAUCAUUAGAAUCCUGGGGUUUUCUAUUUUUAGGAGGACACUUGCAGUUACGUUUAAUGUGUCCUUUCCUGCCACAAUUCCAGCAGUCUACCUGCCUUCUGUCUCCACCAGCUCUAGGGACAGUUACAGCCAUUAGAGGUGUGCUCCUCUUUCUAGUAUUUAGAUUAGCUUCCACUCCCCUAGCCACCUUCACCAGAUCACCAUAGGUUAAACUUCUCCACUCAGGUCUAGCAUUUUGGAGACCAGUCCUUAUGGGUAUGUGGAUACCAUCCAUGAAGCAGUUAAUAAGCAGUCUGGUCGAAGUGGUUACAACAUCAGUGUAACCCAAUGCCUCCCAAGCCAUUUGUAGUCUGGUGAAGAAUGCUUCUACAGAUUCAUCUUUCCCUUGUAGUAUAUCUCCUAAUUUAUGGGCUAGUUCCUCUGUCUUUACCUUAGCCCAUUCUCUCAUUGCAGUGACAGCAUGUUCCAGAUGCAGACUUGGUUCUAAACCAUUCAUCUGUUUGCAUGUUGCUUUUUCUGAGGUUAUCUUCAUGGGCAUCUGUAUAUUUAGCAAUUAUUCUAGCCCAAAUGGGGCCAGCUUUUAGUGCCACAAUUUGUUUUAAAUCCAUCCAAGUACACUGGUAAGUAGCUUGAAUUGUGGAUAGAGACUGGACUAGAGCUAAGGGGGCCUUUUCAACAUCUGCCAGCUGCUGUAUUAUUGCCAGUUGUUCACUGGGUGUCCAGGGCUUAUAUUCUUCCCAGUAUUGGAUACCUGAGCUUGGCUGUCUGUGCUCAUGGUAUACACUCUCAACUUUGGGUAUCAUGGGAGUAGAAAAUUGUGGAGCCUGGGGUGUCUGUGGGGGCAACUAGGGGUUCCUUUAAGUCUGGACUACCUUCCUGCUCUAAUGAACCCAUAGGUCUUACUGGGACACCAUAUGAAGUCCCACUGCGUAAUAUUACUGGAAAGAGAGGUUUUGAUCUCCGUAAAAGGGAAAUCGCCUGGCCUUUUGGGACCAAAGGAGUCCCUGCAGUAUCCUGGUAAAGGGGUGGGUUUACAAGAUUUUUCCCAGGAUCUUGCCUACUCUGGGACCCUAGAGGUCCAAAACAUUGAUAAUAUGGUACACCUUUCCUGGUGGUUUCUCUACAACCACAUUUAGUUAAUUCAACAGCAGUAUCAUGCCAUUUUUGUGCGACUUCUACUAAGUCAUUAUCUUCUAACCAUCCUCUGUAAUUUGCCAUAAAUUCACUCCAUAUAUGUGGGUCUAGAGUGCCUUCUGAGGGCAUGCUAGCUUUCUUAAGUAACCUCUUAACAUUCUUAAUUGCUCCUUGUCCUUUGUGAUGCUUGACAAUAGUCAAAGCCGUAAAUCCCCCUUGGGUACUUUCAGAGCUACCCAUCUUAAAACUUGUAAGGGUUAAUUACUUCCUUACACAAGACAAACUGUACAAAAACAGUGUAUUUACACUUAGGACCCGCUGCAGUGGAAUUUUCAGUUUUGUCUUCUAAACACAGAUCAGGAGAUCUGCCCUUGGAGGAUUCUAACUCAAAUUAUAAAACAAAUGACAAGGCAAACAAUAAAAAUAACUUACAACCCACAGUUAUAUUCCACUAUCUCAAGAUUCCUUUCACAAGACAUAACACAACCUCCACCUGAAUAUAACCAUAAUACCACAGAAAACAAGUUCUUUAGAUCAGACGUUUUUAAGUCGUUCUUUACCCAGACAGACUAGUAGGAUGUGGAUCUGAGAGCGAAAUUGAUAAAGGUAGAAAAAAAGUUUUUCUUACCUUCCUGUACAGCUGAUUUCACUGUCAGAGGGACGUCCACCUGUACGCUAGUGUCCGAGUCUCUCGACCGUCAGAUCCGUCACGGCACCAAAUUGUUGUGGAUCAGAAAUGUUGAUCUUUGUUAUAUUCAGAGUAAGCCCAAAUUGUUGUUACAAGUGCACUUGGAGAAGCGAGAAUUAGACACCAGACACCUGUCGGUAUUCAAAAUAAGCCUCUGACGUUUUAUUCAUCAGCUGGGUUUUAUACAUUAAAAAGUAAGUGCUUAUGUGCAAAUACUCUUGGAACAGUAAUAGGAAGGGAGUGCAGAUAAGACAUAGGGAUGAGCGUCAUGUACACAUAACAAAUAAGUUUCAAGAGAGAACAAAAUGAUUAGAGCAGAGACAUCUUAGGUGGGUGCUCUCUGCUCCCGGAACUUAGACAUAUAUGGUCUUAAGUGUUGUUUAAGCAUCAAGCAUUUCCUGAGUCCAAGUUAGGCAAUUUUAAUAUAGGAUAUCAUUAUAUGACACCUAUAAGCUUGAGCCUUGUAAUCAAGAUAAAUUCUAUCACACAAGCAACCAGACCGGAUGAUGUGAGACGCAAUGCGUUAAGUCAUCACGCAUCACAUGAAAGUGGUGGAGCAUGUACAAUGGCAGAAAAACACAGGAAAGGUGUCUUUCUGUCAUUCUGCCAAACCUGUUCUGUGGAUGAGGGCAGGGCUGGAGUAAGAGCUCAUUGGGUCUGGUGCUGACAAUUAUGAUGGGCCUAAUUACAGAAUCUUAUCAAAAGAGAGAGCAUUAAAACAGUCAUGUACGGGGGGUGCAAAGAGCAUAUACAAUACUUCACUGUAUACUUACUGUAAUGAGUGGAACACCUCCUGAUCUUCAAUACACAGAGCCACAUAAAGCUGGUUCUGACUUCAAUGGCAGGUGAAUAAUAAGCUUAUUCCAGCUCUCUCAAACAGGAUAACUCCUUUUUGGUCCUUCAAUAAUUUUCAGGAUAUCCAAUGUGUUAAAAAUAUAUAAAAUUUACUGGAUACAAAAUAACAUACAAAUAAAAAUACAUUUUAAAAUACUACAUAGUGAAAAAGUCCACAGCACUAACGUGUUAAUAAAGUCAUAUUUCUAAUACAACAAUAAUAUAAUAAAAUAAUACAUUAAUACAUAUUUUAUCAAAUUUGAUAUAUUCAAUUACAAAAGAGACAUUUACCCAAAAAUUAUUCCAAACUAUACAAUGUUUAACAGACAUCUAUAAUAUGAGGAGGAGGAUCUUCUGAAAGUGGUGGUAUAAUAAUUUCUGGGUAAAUGUCUCUUUUGUAAUUGAAUAUAUCAAAUUUGAUAAUAUAUGUAUUAAUGUAUUUUAUUAUAUUAUUGUUGUAUUAGAAAUAUGACUUUAUAAAAAUGUUUUUCCCACUUUAAAUAUGGCGGUAGUAAUAGUGCUACUAGUGUUCAGGGAAGACUGAGAACCUAGAAGUGAUAUCAGUAUUUGUAAAUCAGCUGAUCAAGAAGUCAGAGAAACCUGGAAGUGACAUUAACAUAUACAACGUCAGUUGUUGCUUGUUCUGUGGUGUGAAGCGCCAAUCCACCAAUUUUUCCUGUUGUGUUUGUACAUUAAAACAGUCAUACCUCCCAAGCGUCAUGUAUCUGGUGGAGGUGGUGCUGAAGGUAAACUCACAGGAUAUAACUAUCAGAAAUCACAUACCCAAUGCUAAUCUCUUGCUUUCAUCUUUCAAGUAAAUCCAUACCCCCUUACAGCAGUGUCUGGUGAAGCAGAAUGUCGGUGGGCGGGGUAAAAGGAUGGGCCUCUGACUUGAGUCACGUAACAAGAACCGCCCAAAGGGGCGAACAUGGCCAAAAAGCCAAAAAGGGGGUGUGUCUGCACAGAUAAUUAGAACGUCAGCCUGGCUUGAAUGUAUGUCAAGGCUGGCCAACAAUGGGCAUACUAUGCAGAAUGCAUAGUCAAUAUAAUGUAAAAAAAAAAAGAAAUAGGGAAAAAUUCCUUAUUUACAAAGAAUACCACAACUCCAAAAAGGGUUAAACAAAACAAAAAAUUGCUUACUUAACUUGAUCCCAUUUGCUUGUCAAACUUGUUUCCUGCAACACCUGCCUCGGUGCUGGACUGGUCUCAAACAUAGAAAAUAUUCCAUACACUCCAGUCCACAGUUUUGCUUCCCUACAUUCCUCCUAAGUUUCUAUACUUAAGUAUCAAUGGGCCUAUUCCAUUGGCAUGGGCCUGGAGCUGCAGCUCCAUUAGCCCCUAUGUUAAUUUGGCCCUGAAUGACGGGAGGUGCUGCUUAUUGUGGUCUGUUUCUUAUGUACAUAUAUUGGUGAGUGCACUUAUUUUGUUUAAUUACAUGCAUUGAGAAAUGGGAUAACCAGAAAUGUCUGUAUUGUCCUUCAAUAAAUCCUCUAACACUGGUUAUGCACAUUUUUUUUUCUCUAUUUUGUAUUUGCUUAUUGAAGUUGUAAUAGUGCCUUGAGUGCUAUCCGCCCUGUACGACCCCCCAGAUCCCAAUAUUAAACUAAUUAGAAGGCUUGGAAAUGUGGCAAUGUUCUGUGCAUUGGAUUGGCCUGUCAUUCUGGAGGAAUGCCUCCUGGAUGGCAAACCUGAGGAGGAGGUCGCGGCAGCACCAUGGGAGACUUUGCACUGGAGAAAAUUAUUUCUUUUUUAUUAACAGUUGAGGGGGAACCUAAUUUUAAAUCAUGACAGGAGGCUUCAUAUUUGCUUAAGUCUCUCUUUACUAGAGCUCCACAGCAGCACGUUAACAGAGAGAAAAACACCAAAGACAAAAACAUGAGACAUCUAUAAAAGGCUCCUCCUAACCAACCAUUUCCUCUUUCUUUGCUGCUCCGCAGACAGUACAGGUCAGAGUACCACUACCUCCUGGUUUUUCCUGGGUGGCUGUGAGUUUAUUAUAUAUACAGGCAUAUUUUAUUCCCUCAUUCUCCUGAUUUGUGUUUGAAUUAUUACUUUCCUUUCCUUCUUGUUCUUACUUUGGCUAUUUUUUCUUUCCGGUUUUAUGCUCUAUGCUUUUCUGUUUUUUUUCGUGUGCCUGUUUGCUUUACGGUCGCCGAAAAGCGGUCUUCCGACCGCCUCCCGUGCCGACCGUCGGGACCGCGGAAUAAGACGUCGGCGGUCCCUCAUGCGCCGUGUACUGAUUCCCGCCCGCCGGCUUCGUCCGCCAGGCGGGAAUCCUCUACCUGCUUCCCUGUCCCUCCCACGUCUCGCUCGCAUUCUACCAUACUCGGGCGGCAUGGGGAGGGUACAGGGAGCCUCACUGUUGCCGCGUGAUGCGGCAUCCAUGCGCCCUCUCCCACGUGGCCGGGUCCGGGGGUGCACGGCUUGCUGAUGUGCCUGCCGCAUGUACGCCCUUCAUUUAAGGGCGCAGGACUUUUUUGUUUUUGUACGUGCCAAUAUGAUUCUGAAUACACUUCUGUGACACAUUGCUGCCACCUUGUAUGUUUUGAGAUUUACACUUUUGUUUUUUAUGUGCCAAUAUGAAUCAGGAUGCUUUUCUGUGACGAAUUACUGCCACCUUGUAUGAUUUGAGAUUUACACUUUUGUUUUUCCAGGUGCAGGUUUUUUCCCCUGUCUCGCAAUGCAUAUUGGCCUAUAACACUGCCGACUGCAGUACUCUCGGUGCAUGGAUUCUGUGCCCUUGCGUCUUACACUAUGCAUGCUGCCUGGGCUUAUUUAGGUUUGGUUAAUGCAUUACAUCCGCAUAUUUCCUGCAUGGGACCCUUCUUGGUGACACUAUCCCUCACUGUUCUGGGCCUGUCCUGAGGACCCUGGUACAUCUUUAAUCUGCACGCCUCCGUGUCAAGAUAUGCCUGCCUGUCACCUCUAAGGAUUUACGUUUUGCCUCCAUAUAUCGCUGGGCCGGUGCUACCCAUGCCCAGAUGCUGGCCAGCUGUGUCUGUGCCCUUAUGAUUGGCCGGCUUUGUCUGUUCCCCUUGAUUGGCCAGCUUUGUCUGUGCCCCAUGAUCUGGCCUGCAUUGUCUGUGCCAUUUUACGCAUGCUACUGGCCUGGCGGCUCCACGCCUGGACCCCUGAUUGUUGAGCCUGCAACUAUAGGGGUGCGGCCCCUACUGCCUGCUAGUGAUACCUGUUCUCUAUCUCCUUAGGUAUCACGCACCAUCAUCUCGGAUAUUAUGGAGGCCUCUGCAGAGGAGCAGAAUUUGCAGGCAUUGAUUAAUGCGGCGGGGUCCGCCUCUGUGGAGACAGCCCUGGCUAGGGCCCUCCCUCAAUCACAACCGGACAGAGGGCGAGUGGAACCCCCCGCUUGGCAGACGACUCGGCUGAGUCAAACUCUCAUGGGAGAGAGCAGGCAAGUGCGCAAAUGCGCUAUUGGAAAGGCGAAGACCCUGAACCACGCUCCCGGUAGGGCAAGGCUCUGGCGAAGAGACCUGGUUCGAGGUUAUCAACCUCGCCGACUUCGCGCCGCCGUCUAUCAGGCGCAGGGGAGGAGGCCUCCUUGCCCCCCCCCCCACCAUGGCCGUACUGGAUGAGUGGCGGGCAGACCAUUCCCCUUCAGUGGCACAAGAUGUCUGGGACGAGGACCGUAGUGUUGGCCCGGGUUGGCGCUAGGAGGAUGAAGACACGCCAGGAACAGAGGCCCCCACGGUGGUGCCGCGAGACAACACCUUUCUAGAUACUACAGGUGAACCUCUGUCUGACCCUCGCUCUACCUGGCACCCCAGGUCCUCAUAAUGGUCGCGGCCCGACCACUUAGCACAAUUCGUGCGCUACUGGGUCUGUGGACCCCUGGAAAGGGAGGCCCGCAAGAAACUUCGGGCGGAAUGCCCCUGGCCGUCCUGCCGGGCAAGGGGGCGGGGGACCCGGAUUUUGACCGCCUGGUGGCCUCGUACUUGAAUCGUACGGGUCGGGACCCCACGAAAGGGGUCGAGCGUCGCCUCCGCUCGGCGCUAGAUAAACAGCUGGAUAGGCUGGGCCCCCCUUUGUGCAGGAUGUUGGCCCUGACGGACGUGGCCUACACGGAUGGUACGAGCCUGGACCUGGCCGUCAUGCGGGAUUGGGCGCUAUGCCCCAUUUGCCUUCUAGGCAAUGCUAAUGUGGUUCUGCACCGAACGCAGGUAAGCGGCUCUGUUCCGUAUGGACAACAAGCUAUCGGAGCUAGGGUCCAAAGAAUUGGGCCCCCUGGCAAUACGACCUACUGUUCAGGGAACGCAUUAAUUUAUUUGCUUCCCUGAAUAAAGCACAGCCCUCUAUAAAGAUGGUGUUUCGCUCACUGUUAUCCCGGCUGGUCUUCGGACCCCCACAGAUCCCGUGGCCCAUCCUUUUUUCCACCAUACCGGCCCAGACCUCCCUUAACUCGAAGGGCGGGUAGAGGGCGAGCGAGAUUUCCUACAGGUGUGUACAACUCCUGCCACUUUUCAACUCCCCUCUAUUGCAUACAGGCAGAUUGUUUCACUGCAGAGACAGGUGGCAGGAAGUGUCUUCAAAUGCAUGGGUCCAUCAGACGGUACGGGGUUAUGUCGUGGACUUGCAUUUCCCACCGACGCAGGUUGGACCUCCAAGUGUCUCCUUCAUCGCGAGAGUUCAACGUUCCUUGAUAGAUUCGGAGGUUCGGACUCUGCUCGCCAUUGGCGCUAUCCAGCGAGCCCCGGAUUUGGGGGGCUUCCUCAGCUCGAUUUUCUAGUGAAGAUGAAGUCGGGGGAGUUCCGCCCGGUGAUCAAUUUUUUGGGAAUUGAACACCUUCAUUGUCUGCAACCACUUCAAGUUGGAAGGCAUUCAUCUCCUUCGGGACCUUCCCCGGCCGGGAGACUUGUUCAUGUGACUGGACCUGAAGGAUGCUUACCUCUCCGUCCUGGUGGACAAGAGCGGUCACGUGUUGCUUCGCUUCACCUGGAAUGGCGUCCCUCGCCAAUUCGCAUACCUCUCGUUCGGCCUCAGCUCGACCCCUUGGUGCUUCACCAAGCUGCUGACGCCUGUGGUCGCCCGAUUCUGGUCAGAGGGCGUCAGUUUCCUGUUAUUUCUGGAUGAUUUGCUGGUCCUCUGCAAUGAUCCCUCCAGGCUCAGAUAUCAAACGCGUUCGGCGAUCUCCUUAUUGGAGCUCCUGCGAUUCGUAGGUAAUCUGAAAAAAUCAGUUUUGGAACCUUCCCAGUCGGUGGAGUUCUUGGGUGUCGUGGUCAAUACGACGGAAUGCAUUCUCCGUCUGCCUUUUGCACUGAUGGCAACCGCCCAGGAGGUGAUGAGAAGGAUAUUACGGAAAGUCCGGAUUCCCCUUCAAAUGUUUGCUUGCGUGGUGGGCCUCCUCUCAGCCUCGAUACAGGCAAUAUACCCAGGACCAUGCAACGGCUGAAGGCCCCUGUUCUACACAAGUGACCUUCUUCAGACCUGAUGAUUCCUCUGUUCCCGGACGUGAAGGCCGGACUGCGCUGGUGGCUUCUGCGCAUGGCCGCACGGAACGGCAAGGCAAUAUUUGGACCAAACCCGGAUUUCGGGCUGGAAUCGACUGCAAGCCUUGGGGUUGGGGUGCCACGUGCGCGACCGGGUCCACGGGAGGCCUGUGGUCGUACAAGGAAUCGAAGUUCCACAUCAAUUGCCUGGAUUGAUUGCGGGUUCGUUAACUGUUCGGAGCCUGGCAAGUCACCUGUCGGACUGCUGCGUCCUCCUUCGGAGGGACUAGGUCUCAGUGGUGCAAUAUAACGACCGCUUGGGGGGGCGCUCGGUCUCGCACACUGGAGGUGACGAAGGGGAUUUCCAACUUCUGCUUCCAUGCAACAUCGCCUUACAGACAGAAUAUCUGCCGUGGGAGUCAAACCUGACUGCAGAUUGGUUCUCCAGACAUUGGAAGGAUGCCCGCGACUGGGAACUCUUUCGACCCUUCUUCCUCGUACUCGAGCGUCGCAAGGGUUCGUUCACGGUGGGUCUAUUCGCCUCCGGGACAACCAUCAGAUUCGGACGUGCUUUAGUUGGCUCCCGGACCCAGCGUGCGUGGUGGUGGUCACGUUUCGACAGAUAUGUUUUUUUUCUCAGGAAGCAUAGGUGUUUCCUUUCGUUCGCCUCAAUCCCCCGGGUAUUACUUCAAGUUAGAGGUCGACGUGUGUUGUUGACUCCUCUAUGGCGGGAUCAGUCUGGUUCACGGGGCUUCUGGAUCUUUCCUGUCGGGAUCCUCUUCUCUUACCGUCCUCUCGAAUACUCCUCUUGGACUCUUUCGGGAGUGCCUGGUAUGUCGAGGCGUCAUCGCUAUCGGCCAGGGACCUUCUCUGGGAUUCCUGGGCUCCCGGGACGAGGAGAUGUUAUCUCUCAGCAUGGAUUUCAUGGUGUCGUUGGUGCUUGGGACAGGAUACCGAGCCCUUUGCUGGCCCGUGACCAACUUGCUGAGUGUCUUGUCCCUCCUCGAUGAUUUGGGACGGUUGUGCCGUCUGGUUAUUUUGACUAGACAACUAUUUAGGCGGUGCGUGUUCCGUUUUGGAGGGUUUUUUUCCCAUCGGUCAGGACCCGCUGGUCUGCAGAUUUUUACGUGGGAUGAGGCUGGCACGUCCUCCGGCACCUAAAUACUCUUCUCUCUGGGAGGUAAGUAUGGUUUUAGCGUUUUCUUUGGGAUUUGGCCGGUGUUCCUUGACUUUUCCCUUCGCCAGCUUUCUGCUGUGUUUGCCCUCUUGUUGUGUCUGGUUUCGUUCAGAUGUGUUUCUGAUGUCCGGCCCUUCGCCCCUGUCCCGACUCGAUGGUUUUUGACACUGGCGGGGGUGAAUGCGACCUUUGGAGUGCAUUCGGUUAGCGGCGCUGCUGCUUCUGAGUUUCCUUGGUGGGCGUUUCUCUUCGGGACGUUUUGUAUGUGGCGGUCCGGUCCCGUGAAGAGUUUUUGCGCCAGUUUUACUUUAGACCGUCGGACAAUGUUUCUUUGGUUUUGCUGUCGGAGCGUUAAAACAGCAAAUAUGAAGCCUCCUGUCAUGAUAUAAAAUUGUAGAUUAUACUAGCUUUAGUGUAACUAUAAUCUUAAUUUUAUUAAUGACAGGAGGCGAAUAUUUCCCACCCGUUUUUUUUUCUUCCCCUCCCUUUGUUUAGAUUGAUUGUUGGUUGAUUUCUAUGGGUUGUUGAGUCGCCUGGGCUAGAUAUGGUAGUCUAGGGUGCUGUCUGGGGAAGUUAGGGGAGGUGUCUGUUAUAUUGGUAUUGUCAGUAAUUAUAUACUGGGGUUUUGUUUUUGUACUAUCAGUACUGUACCGUGGGAUUUAUGUUUUCUCAGUACAUUUCAUUCACUAAUCAGUGUUUUCGACUCUGUUUAUCUCGUUUCAGUGUAAUGGUUCGACUACAUUUCAUAGAAUCCACGGUUUCGCUGGAUGAAGCGCAAGAUAACAUCUGUUAUUCGAAGUCCUUUUACAAAUGGCAUUCAUUGUUGUGUUAUGUUUCUUCCUUUUAUUAGUUUAUUGCAUUUUGUGUACCUUAUGUCUUGUCGCAGCGUGAAAGAGGAAAUGGUUGGUUAGGAGGAGCCUUUUAUAGAUGACUUAUGUUUUUGUCUUUGGUGUUUUUCUCUCUAUGUUAAUGUGCUGCUGUGGAGUAAUAGUAAAGAGAGACUUAAGCAAAUAUUCGCCUCCUGUCAUUAAUAAAAUUAAGAUUAUAGUUACACUAAAGCUAG